AAGAAGGCUGUGCUUGGAAAAAUGGUUUUGCUUUUAGUGAGUCAGAAGAGAGGCAGGGCUGUAGGAAACAGAGAAGUAAAUAAAUUGGAAGUGAAAAGGAGCUUUUUUCCCCUCCUCUGUUAGGAUUAAAAAGUUUUGAUGCCAUUAUCAGUCUGUUUGUACCACUGGCUUUCCUCUCAGAUCUUCUCCUCCCGGAUAAAUCUGUCUGAACUAACUGAUGACUCCGGAGCUGCUCCUGAACAGCAAAGCAGCAAAGAUGGGCUGGACAGUGGACCCACAAUUCUUCAGGUGCCCUGUAAGCUGUAGGAGAUCUUGCAGAAUCAAGAGGACCAUCCCAAAUGGAAUAAAAGAGGGUAUUUUCAGAAAAUAAAUACAGUGGCUGCUGCAAUGCAAAUCCCUGCUGUGACCCACUGGGAAGAGGGAUGGAUGUUCCAGCACAGAGAUCUCUCAGCCAUGUGAAGCCAGCUGGUCUUGACGGUACCUGGUGCCCAUGCCUAUCCCAGUGCUGUCAAACUGCUUUGGAAAUUCCUAUUUAUUUUUUAAUGCUGGGAGCUGGGUAAGCUCCACUCAACUGCAGGCACGUCACCCACCCAGGCUGUCCCUCAAACCUGUGGAUCUUGCUGGCUGGAGUCAAUGCUCCACUGCCAUUAAACUCAGCAUGAAUGAGUUUCUGAAUGAUUAAUUUGAAACAAAACCAUAGCUCAGGGCUACAGCUGCCAUUCUGUUUGGGCAGUGGAGAAAGGCUGUAACCUGGGGGCAGUGGGUUUGUAUGCCCUGGGCUCCCUGCCCUGUGCUUCUCCUCAGCCCCCUGAACUCAUAUCCUUUUCCACACUCUCUUUUGAGGAGCACAGACCCAAACCCGAGGCAGUUCAGGUCUGGCCUCUGAAUCUGUCCCAUUAAUGUGUGGGUUUGAAAUCUACCCCUCCUUCUCUCAAUGUACAGACUCGCUGCUCCCGUCCGUAUAAGGCCCACGCGAGCACAAAGCCAGGCUGGGCUAUUUAUAUUUCCUUGCCCAGCCCUACCCACCCAACACUGCAUGGCUGGGAUCCAGAUCCCACCCUGCUCUCCCAACAGCACAGCCCUUCCCACAGAAACUCACAUCUCACACAGCUCAGAGCAGCUACCAAAGCCCCCUGAAGAGCUGAUGAGCCCCACUGGAGCCUCCAAACAGGACAGUGUGGUGAGCACACACUCACACCCCUUGGACAAAGGCUGCUCUUCCCAAAGGAAACACUGCUCAUCCCAAGCCAGAGCUCCCAGAGCUCGGCACCCACACAAGCCUCAAAAUAAAGGUCCUGCACACUUUAGAAAUUCAAUACUCUGUGUGUGUGCCGAGUGCUGCAAGGGUUUGUCCGGUUGUAACAAAAUCAGCCUUUGGCAUUUGCAGGAAUAAGUUUAAUUGUAAAAAAACAGUUGGAGGAAAAUGCCAAGCUUACAUAAACUGCCACGUGCCACUCUCCAGCUGAACAUGGCACAAAGUCUGGUUUCAGAGCAGUAGCUGCUAGCACAGGACAUCCAUUAUUAAACCAUGAACUGCAGUAACCAGCCCCAGGUUCAGGAUCCUAAAACCAGGAGAUUUGGGAUGAAGUCACUUUAGUUUGUUUUUAUUAGCAACCACUCUCACAGAAUUUUUUGGUGUCCUGAUAUCUCUGAAAUACAGGAGCCCAGGACAGAGGCACAAAGGAAGCUCUGAGCUCUGUUCCCAGGGGCUGCUGAGCAGUGCAGGCACUCACUGCCAUCAGACUUUUUAGGAAGCUGCAGAACUGUGCACUAUUGAACCCUACAGAACAUGACUCUUGCUCUGCUCAGAUCUCUCACCCAAAAACAGUCACUGCUGGGAUUAUGGAACAUUUUACAUCUCUUAGGAUAAGUUUAUCUCUUGUUCUCCAAAAUAAAAGACUAAUAAAUCUUUGGACUUUUUUCCACAGCAACUGAAAACACACAGGAUUCACUCCCAGCUUGGGAAAGUAGCUUUUUCUGAGUCAGAGAUGAGAGAUAAUGUGCUCAGCACUGCAGAAUUAGUUACAUGAUCAGUAAUGUACCCAACACACACUUUGGUAGGUGGGGGAUUGGAGAAGUGAGACACUGAAUUAGAGUUAUUUUGUAAUUAUUUGGUUUUAAGUGUAGACACCUUUAGGAAAGCACAGUGAAUUCCUCAGUUAACCCCCAGGGAGGACCCCAGCACUGGAUGUUUCCCACUGGGGCUGGGUCUGCUCCGGCUCCCAUGGAAGUACCAGCAUGUCCAUGAGGGCACAAACAGCUCCAUUUCACAUGCUGCAAACCUGGAGAAUUCCUUAUCUGUGCUCUGUAGCAUUCAAAUCACACUAAAAUCCAUGCUGGGAAAUGAUCCCAAAUCCCAAAUAAUUUCCUCCCCUAAUACCUCCAUGAUUCCUCAAGUCCCUGGCACAGCCCCUGGCCAAACGACUCUUUCCAAGGCUGCUCCAUCCUCACCACAGCAGCAAGGACAGGCCCCAAACCUUUAGAAGCAGGAUUGCUUUUUCAUAUUAAAAAAGAAACUCUACUCAAUAUCAAUAAGCCACAGCAAAUCAACACAAAUUGCUCAUGAAACACUAACCUGCAGAUGUUUGGGAUGCUUCCCAAGGACCUUGAACCUUGCUAACUUCCUACCUAUUUCCGUAACUGACAUGGAAUCUUAUGUUUAAACAAUUCCCUUCACUCCUCUCAUUUUGUGGUGGUUGUUGCUUAUAUUUUAUUUUUUUCCAUGGAUAAAUAGAUACAAAAAGCUUGUAAUAAAUCCAUACACAUAUAUCUGUCUACAACUGGUUGUGUUUCCUGUAUGAUCUGAACCGGCUCAAAUAUCUCAGCCUUUCAGCCGUGAUAAAACAACAAAUGCUCAGGCUCUGAACCAAGGAGUCCCGCAGUGUCCGACCCCCGAGCUUGUCAUGAGCCACUUGCCCUCAAACCUCACACUAUGGACCAUUCUCCCUUUUAUUCUGCUUUUCUUUUCUCUCUUCACAUGAUCAGCACUCGAAGCUUCUCCAUUUGAGUGCUGGCUAUUAUUAACCCAGAGGCUUUCAACUGCAGCAUUAACUGUUUCACUCUCUUUUCUGGCCCAAUAGAAGAGUUUGCUCUGCUGCAGAAAACUAACUCCAGGCAGGAAACCUGACAGAAUCACUUUCCUCUCUCUCUCUCCUUGUUUAAGUGAAAACUCCAACGCUUAGUGCAGGGGAUGAUUGUUAAGCAAACUAAAGCUAUUAUUGAGACCAAACAACAAGGAGGUUCAAGGCUUGAAGGAUGCAGAACAAAGAAGGUGGGAAUUGUACAAACCCUCGGCAAAGACCACCCCAAGCACUGCCAAGCUCAGGGGGCUGGAUUUUCUCUGACAGUUCUAUUUGCCCUGGCUGGACAGAGUAACCCUGAGGCUGGGGUUACUAUCACUUGUUACCAGAUGCAUGUCACAAAUCUGAAAUAUUAUCGGUCUCCACGUAGCCAUACACAUGGUGUCUCUUUGUAGAAGAGACAUUGGCAGCUGGAUUCACAACACCCCCUGCCAGAUCGCAGAGCACUAUUGCUUUUCGUUGAGCUAAGCAGUAAAAUCGGGUUAUUUUGAUACUUCUGGCCCAUUGCAGUGAGUUCUUAGGGCCUUGUUCCCUAUCUGCCUUAAAAUUCCUGUUAAAUGGGACAAUUCUGUCAAACUUUGUCUUAGGACACACAGAAAAUGUUAAACCACAAAUGAGAGUGACAGGGGACCCGCAUCAAUUUGGAUUGCCAGACAAUCUGGGGAGUUUGGGAGAGGGUUGGACCGAACAUGCAGCGUGACAGGACCCUCAGCAGAGAAAACACCCACUAACAGGAUGUAAAGACAUAGUGAAAC